rnacentral:rRNA from 1 species
AACGAACGCUGGCGGCAGGCUUAACACAUGCAAGUCGAACGGAUGUAGCAAUACAUUAGUGGCGCACGGGUGAGUAACGCGUGGGAACGUACCCUUAGAUACGGGACAACAUCGGGAAACUGAUGCUAAUACCGUAUAAUGUCUUCGGACCAAAGAUUUAUCGUCUAAGGAUCGGCCCGCGUUAGAUUAGGUAGUUGGUGAGGUAAAGGCUCACCAAGCCGACGAUCUAUAGCUGGUCUGAGAGGAUGAU